UAUCAAGUAUCUUGUAAAAAGAUAUAGAAAAGAGAACAAAUGAUAUUUAGAAUUUAAUUUUAUAAUCUUUAGAUCACGAAAAGUAUAUUCUCAAUUCAUCAUGAGAACAUUUCUAAAUUUUGUUCUACUCAUCACGUUGAUGAUUGCCAUUAUGAUACCAUUGGGAAUCUGCAACACGACAACCGAAGCAUAUAGAAGCACCAUUAUUGGCGUUCCUAUGAGAACUUCUUGUCCGCCAGGCCAGCGAAAAGAUUCUCAUGGAGUAUGUCGUAAACCAACAUAAUAGCAAUGAUCCACAGAAUUGAAUAUCAUCAAAAACCGGUUUUCCUCAUCAAAAAGAGUGACGUAAUCUGAAGAAUAUAAAUAUCGGACUUGUGAGAGGCAGAGAUUGUUCACCUGCUGGAAUUCGUUGAAAGCCCAGUCCAAUUUGUGCUGAUUUCUGUCAGUUUGAAUUUAAACUCGUGAAACUCUGAAGAACUCAAAAGCCUAUAAGAGGAAUGUUGAUAGAAAUAUAAUAAAGUGGUGGUAUUUUGUUAUUAUUUAAAAACUAGUUUGUGAUACUA